AGGCAAAUGCACACCAAUAAGGCAAGUCUUGGGUAAGAGCAAGUUGAUAUUAGGGUUGUUAGAAGGAAUUCCACCGAUGUUGAAGGGGGAACUUGCAGUGUUUAAAAUGAAGCCUGAACUGCACUAUGGCGAGGAUGACUGCCCAGUUUCCGUUUCAGAUAGCUUUUCAAAGGAUGCCCAACUUAAUUUUGAGAUUGAGCUGAUCGAGUUUUCUGUUCGGUAGUUAUUGUUCUGUUCUGUUCUGUGCUUACUGUUUGUGUAGUUUGCUUUUAAUUUAACCGCUAAUGUUGUCGAAUUCUUUUUUGAAGUAUUUGAAAUAUAUGUUAAUUUUUGAAUUUCUAUGUUAGUAGUUGCCUGUAUAUUGGUUAGACAAUGCAAGACGAGCGUGUUGAUCGAUGGGGUCAAGAUAGUGUCAGUUUUAACUUAUACUACGUUCUUCUGACCUACAAACAGUUUCUAUGCAACUAAUAAUUGGCUAGUUUUCUUUGUUCUUAGUUUAUUUAUGCCCAAAUCAGAGAUAUUUGAAAGUCAAAGUGCCUAAUAUCUUGUUUCAUCUCACUACAGGAAAUACCCGUAAUAGCGGCCACCAAGUUUGGAAACGAAGAUGCUGAUGAAGUGGAUGAUGAGACGGAUAUGAUGUAGAAUUAUGACAUUUUAUAUGUUAAGUAGUUUUAUGACGUGUUGUGAAUAAAAAUGAACCCGGAUGGUGACGUUUCUGACGUUUAUGCUUAUGUAGAUUGUGUUUAUUUA